rnacentral:antisense_RNA from 1 species
UUGCCCCAUUCUGACCCUGAGAGCACCUGGCAGGUAUGUGGAAAAAAGAAAUGUGCAUUAAAACAGAGACAGGAGGAAUGUACACAGCCUGCAAUACUCUAGCAGUAAGUACUACUACUGGCUGGAAGAUAGGAAGCAGUCAUCAGUGCACAUGGAAGGAAGAGCCAUUAUGCCCACGUGCAUCAGGUGUAAAUGCUGAGUUCUGGUCGGUCAUGGCGCAACAGUCUCCAAGGGGAACUCCCAAUUACUUCCAAGGGAAAGUUGAACUCCCACUAAUCUGUAGUGGAGCAGUUUUUAUACCUUCUUAAAACCCAGAAGAAUGAGUAUCAGAGUACUCUAUGUGAUCCUCAGAAAUAAAAACCACAAGUCUAGGGCUGCUAAAGUACCCUACCAAAA